CACAUGCAAGUCGAACGGUAACAGGAAGAAGCUUGCUUCUUUGCUGACGAGUGGCGGACGGGUGAGUAAUGUCUGGGAAACUGCCUGAUGGAGGGGGAUAACUACUGGAAACGGUAGCUAAUACCGCAUAACGUCGCAAGACCAAAGAGGGGGACCUUCGGGCCUCUUGCCAUCGGAUGUGCCCAGAUGGGAUUAGCUAGUAGGUGGGGUAACGGCUCACCUAGGCGACGAUCCCUAGCUGGUCUGAGAGGAUGACCAGCCACACUGGAACUGAGACACGGUCCAGACUCCUACGGGAGGCAGCAGUGGGGAAUAUUGCACAAUGGGCGCAAGCCUGAUGCAGCCAUGCCGCGUGUAUGAAGAAGGCCUUCGGGUUGUAAAGUACUUUCAGCGGGGAGGAAGGGAGUAAAGUUAAUACCUUUGCUCAUUGACGUUACCCGCAGAAGAAGCACCGGCUAACUCCGUGCCAGCAGCCGCGGUAAUACGGAGGGUGCAAGCGUUAAUCGGAAUUACUGGGCGUAAAGCGCACGCAGGCGGUUUGUUAAGUCAGAUGUGAAAUCCCCGGGCUCAACCUGGGAACUGCAUCUGAUACUGGCAAGCUUGAGUCUCGUAGAGGGGGGUAGAAUUCCAGGUGUAGCGGUGAAAUGCGUAGGGAUCUGGAGGAAUACCGGUGGCGAAGGCGGCCCCCUGGACGAAGACUGACGCUCAGGUGCGAAAGCGUGGGGAGCAAACAGG
rnacentral:rRNA from 1 species